rnacentral:rRNA from 1 species
GACGAACGCUGGCGGCGUGCUUAACACAUGCAAGUCGAACGGAAAGGCCCUGCUUUUGUGGGGUGCUCGAGUGGCGAACGGGUGAGUAACACGUGAGUAACCUGCCCUUGACUUUGGGAUAACUUCAGGAAACUGGGGCUAAUACCGGAUAGGAGCUCCUGCUGCAUGGUGGGGGUUGGAAAGUUUCGGCGGUUGGGGAUGGACUCGCGGCUUAUCAGCUUGUUGGUGGGGUAGUGGCUUACCAAGGCUUUGACGGGUAGCCGGCCUGAGAGGGUGACCGGCCACAUUGGGACUGCGAUGCGGCCCAGACUCCUGCGGGAGGCAGCAGUGGGGGAUAUUGCACAAUGGGCGGAAGCCUGAUGCAGCCACGCCGCGUGCGAGAUGACGGCCUUCGGGUUGUAAACCGCUUUCGCCUGUGACGAAGCGUGAGUGACGGUAAUGGGUAAAGAAGCACCGGCUAACUACGUG